rnacentral:rRNA from 1 species
UACGUAGGGGGCUAGCGUUGUCCGGAAUCAUUGGGCGUAAAGAGCGUGUAGGCGGUCCGGUAAGUCCGCUGUGAAAGUCGGGGGCUCAACCCUCGAAUGCCGGUGGAUACUGUCGGGCUAGAGUACGGAAGAGGCGAGUGGAAUCCUGGUGUAGCGGUGAAAUGCGCAGAUAUCAGGAGGAACACCUAUUGCGAAGGCAGCUCGCUGGGACGUAACUGACGCUGAGACGCGAAAGCGUGGGGAGCAAACAGG